UGGGGAAUAUUGCACAAUGGGCGAAAGCCUGAUGCAGCAACGCCGCGUGAGUGAUGAAGGUCUUCGGAUUGUAAAGCUCUGUCUUUUGGGACGAUAAUGACGGUACCAAAGGAGGAAGCCACGGCUAACUACGUGCCAGCAGCCGCGGUAAUACGUAGGUGGCGAGCGUUGUCCGGAUUUACUGGGCGUAAAGGGUGCGUAGGCGGAUGUUUAAGUGAGAUGUGAAAUACCCGGGCUUAACUUGGGUGCUGUAUUUCAAACUGGAUAUCUAGAGUGCAGGAGAGGAGAAUGGAAUUCCUAGUGUAGCGGUGAAAUGCGUAGAGAUUAGGAAGAACACCAGUGGCGAAGGCGAUUCUCUGGACUGUAACUGACGCUGAGGCACGAAAGCGUGGGUAGCAAACAGGAUUAGAUACCCUGGUAGUCCACGCCGUAAACGAUGAGUACUAGGUGUAGGAGGUAUCGACCCCUUCUGUGCCGCAGUAAACACAUUAAGUACUCCGCCUGGGAAGUACGAUCGCAA
rnacentral:rRNA from 1 species